rnacentral:rRNA from 1 species
AACGAACGCUGGCGGCAUGCCUAACACAUGCAAGUCGAACGAGACCUUCGUGUCUAGUUGCUCACGCGUGCGUAACGCGGGGGAACCUUCCCUUAGAUUCGGAAUAACUCCCCUACGUGGGGGCUAAUACCGGAUAAUGUAUGCUGACCAAAGAUUUAUCGACUUUGGAUGGGCCGGCGAUGUAUUAACUAUUUGGUAGCGUAAAAGCCUACGAAGGCUACGAUACAUAGCUGGUCUGAGAGGAUGAUCAGCCACUCUGGGACGGAGACACGGCCGAGAAUCCUACACGAGGCAGCAGUGGGUAAUCUAGGAAUAUGGGCGAAAGGAUGAUCCAGUACUGCUGCGAGAGUGAUGAAGGCCUUAGAGUUGUAAAGCUCUUUUACACGGGACGAUAAUGACAGUACCGGAAGAAUAAGCUCCGGCUAACUUCGUG